CCUACGGGAGGCAGCAGUGGGGAAUAUUGGACAAUGGGGGCAACCCUGAUCCAGCCAUGCCGCGUGAGUGAUGACGGCCUUAGGGUUGUAAAGCUCUUUUCUCCGGGACGAUAAUGACGGUACCGGAGGAAUAAGCCCCGGCUAACUCGCAGACGUCCCU
rnacentral:rRNA from 1 species